rnacentral:rRNA from 1 species
GACGAACGCUGGCGGCGUGCUUAACACAUGCAAGUCGAACGGUGAAGCGCCUUCCUUUUUGGUGGGUGUGGAUGAGUGGCGAACGGGUGAGUAACACGUUAGUAACCUGCCCCCUUCUUCUGGAUAACCGCAUGAAAGUGUGGCUAAUACGGGAUAUUCUGGGUCUGUCGCAUGAUGGGUCUGGGAAAGAUAUUGUUUCGGUUGGGGAUGGGCUCGCGGCCUAUCAGCUUGUUGGUGGGGUGAUGGCCUACCAAGGCGGUGACGGGUAGCCGGCCUGAGAGGGUGGACGGUCCCACUGGGACUGAGACACGGACCAGACUCCUACGGGAGGCAGCAGUGGGGAAUAUUGCACAAUGGGAGCAAGCCUGAUGCAGCGACGCCGCGGGAGGGAUGGAGGCCUGCGGGUUGUGAACCUCUUUCGCCAGUGAAGCAGGCCUGCCUCGUUUGUGGGUGGGUUGACGGUAGCUGGAGAAGAAGCGCCGGCUAACUACGUG